GCUUAUUUUGCCCAGGCGGAGCUCGACCGCCGACCGAAGUGAUGGUGUCGUUUAUCGAUGAGCACCGGGAUAGUUACGGGGUCGAGCCGAUCUGCAGUCAGCUGCCGAUUGCCCC
rnacentral:ncRNA from 1 species